GACCAUCUAGCGACCUCCACCUUCACCAGGGACGAAGCGAAAGUGACGGNACCAUNNAGCNANNNNCACCGGCUAACUACGUGCCAGCAGCCGCGGUAAUACGUAGGGUGCGAGCGUUGUCCGGAAUUACUGGGCGUAAAGAGCUCGUAGGUGGUUUGUCGCGUCGUCUGUGAAAUUCUGGGGCUUAACUCCGGGCGUGCAGGCGAUACGGGCAUAACUUGAGUGCUGUAGGGGUAACUGGAAUUCCUGGUGUAGCGGUGAAAUGCGCAGAUAUCAGGAGGAACACCGAUGGCGAAGGCAGGUUACUGGGCAGUUACUGACGCUGAGGAGCGAAAGCAUGGGUAGCGAACAGGAUUAGAUACCCUGGUAGUCCAUGCCGUAAACGGUGGGCGCUAGGUGUGAGGGUCUUUCNACGACUUUCGUGCCGUAGCUAACGCAUUAAGCGCCCCGCCUGGGGAGUACGGCCGCAAGGCUAAAACUCAAAGGAAUUGACGGGGGCCCGCACAAGCGUCGGGAUGUGGAGGUCGCUAGAUGGUCGAUGCAACGCGAAGAACCUUACCUGGGCUUGACAUACACCGGACCGCUGCAGAGAUGUAGUUUCCCUUUGUGGCUGGUGUACAGGUGGUGCAUGGUUGUCGUCAGCUCGUGUCGUGAGAUGUUGGGUUAAGUCCCGCAACGAGCGCAACCCUUGUCUUAUGUUGCCAGCAUUUGGUUGGGGACUCAUGAGAGACUGCCGGGGUUAACUCGGAGGAAGGUGGGGANGACGUCAAAUCAUCAUGCCCCUUAUGUCCAGGGCUUCACACAUGCUACAAUGGUCGGUACAANGCGCNGCGACACUGUGUAGGUGGAGCGAAUCGCUAGANNGNCGGCCUUAGUUCGG
rnacentral:rRNA from 1 species